GCCUGAUGCAGCGACGCCGCGUGAGGGAUGACGGCCUUCGGGUUGUAAACCUCUUUCAGCAGGGACGAAGCGAAAGUGACGGUACCUGCAGAAGAAGCACCGGCCAACUACGUGCCAGCAGCCGCGGUAAUACGUAGGGUGCAAGCGUUGUCCGGAAUUACUGGGCGUAAAGAGCUCGUAGGCGGUUUGUCGCGUCGUCUGUGAAAACUCGAGGCUCAACCUCGAGCUUGCAGGCGAUACGGGCAGACUUGAGUACUGCAGGGGAGACUGGAAUUCCUGGUGUAGCGGUGAAAUGCGCAGAUAUCAGGAGGAACACCGGUGGCGAAGGCGGGUCUCUGGGCAGUAACUGACGCUGAGGAGCGAAAGCGUGGGUAGCGAACAGGAUUAGAUACCCUGGUAGUCCACGCCGUAAACGGUGGGCGCUAGGUGUGGGUUUCCUUCCACGGGAUCCGUGCCGUAGCUAACGCAUUAAGCGCCCCGCCUGGGGAGUACGGCCGCAAGGCUAAAACUCAAAGGAAUUGACGGGGGCCCGCACAAGCGGCGGAGCAUGUGGAUUAAUUCGAUGCAACGCGAAGAACCUUACCUGGGUUUGACAUAUACCGGAAAGCCGUAGAGAUACGGCCCCCCUUGUG
rnacentral:rRNA from 1 species